rnacentral:rRNA from 1 species
UACGUAGGGACCGAGCGUUGUCCGGAAUCAUUGGGCGUAAAGAGCGUGUAGGCGGCUUGCUAAGUCUUGCGUGAAAUCUCGGGGCUCAACCCCGAGCGGUCGUGGGAAACUGGCAGGCUAGAGUGCGGGAGAGGAGAAUGGAAUUCCUGGUGUAGCGGUGAAAUGCGCAGAUAUCAGGAAGAACACCCGUGGCGAAGACGGUUCUCUGGAACGCAACUGACGCUGAGACGCGAAAGCGUGGGGAGCAAACAGG